AGAUCGACGGCCGACGAGGCGGCUCCGAUUGAUCGAUCGUGCGGUUCUCGGGUGACAACGUUAACGGGUCAUGCACUCUCAGAAGGAGGAAAAUAUAGUAACCGGUCAGGCACGCUGGCGGGUCUGGGACGGUACGUAGACCGAGGCUGAGCCACCGAGGUGAAGCGGUUGGAGUUGAUUAGAGUUCUCUUCUGUUAGCUUAGAGAAGAAGGGUCCGUCGUUACCUUUCUAGCUGGCUGCCUAUGGUUGCCGCCCGGUGGCUACGUGCUUCAGACCCGCGAUGGACGCCGCGUUGACAUACCAAAUCUGAAUAUUGUAAUCUGAUGCAGAUCUCGCUCGAUUAAUCUAGGGGGCCAUGCGUUUUGCAUCACAUGGUUAAUUGCUAAGAAAGUAAGGAAAUUGGUAGAGGAAAGGAAUGGGAAUGUUCCACUGGCCAGAUACCAAAACCACUAUAUCUAACCAAGUUUUUGCCUUCACGUUUCACCACUUGGGUGAAAGCAACUUGAGAAGCUGUGGGCUGCCGACACGUGUAUUAAUUUGGGUUACAGGGGUGUACAAAUUCAUUGUGACUUUAGAUUUUUGAUGUAAAUUUUGUUAACUGAUUCGCAUUUUUGUGUGUGCACUUGGGGUGGCUUCAGCGAUUUCCUAAUGAUCCGGGGCAGUCUGUUUGAUUUGGAUUUGUUUCUUGCAUGUGUGUGUUGACUGGCCUGGGCCGAUUUAUGGUGAUGCGGUUAUUGCAUAGACUCCCGUUUCUCCCUCUCAAUUUUCUCCGUGUGUCCCUCUCUGUCAAAGGCUCGCGAAGCAUCCCGUGGUUGCUCCACCUCCACCACCCACCGCUCAACAGCAUGUCGCCGCUCCACCGCCAUGGUCGUUUAUAAAAAGCUCUUGUCCCCUCCCCUUGAGUUCACUGCGCAAGUCUCCCAGAUUCUCGGCGACGCAAAACCCAUCGUUCCCGACUUCAUUGAUGGCCGAUGCAUCGCCGGAGCUCUCACCAGCUAGGCCGUCCCCUUCCUAGCGCCGGUCGGCGUAGCUCUCUCUUCCACUUCUGCGCCCACCUCCUCCCAGCCAGGCGCUCCAAUCAUGGCGCAGAGGCCGGAUCGAGCCCAUAUGGCGUGGCGGCGGCCGAAUUCACAACGGCGAUGACACCCAGCGGUCCCCGCUGGCCCAACCAAGUUUGUUUUCCUCUCCCCAUCCUCUCCCGCGAGCACCCUCGAUUUCGUCUCGCCGGUUCAGGCCACUCGCAGCAGCCGACCACCUGUAGCAACUAGCAACUCCAUGGCUGUCGCCGCCUUCUAGGUUGUGGCGGAGCCCCGCUCCAGCACACAACGCAUGCCGAUUCACUUCCGUUCCUUUACGGAACCAUCGCCAGCCUACCGGAAGGGAAGGCGACGGCCGGUGCCAAGGGCUGCAGAGUGGGCACCGUGCUGGCCCUUGCCAUCCCCUCCCACUGAAAGGGCUUUCCAUGUUUUAUCCCCAUUACCAUUGACGAGGACAGAUCAUAGGAUACCAGUACCACUGCUGGGAGCCUGGGACAUGUACUAUCAUGACAAUGUCAGGAGAACCUUCAUCUCUGGGCAUGAGAUGCAUAUGCAUUUCCCAAAAAUUGAUCCCGUGGACAAGAUCAGGUUAGUGAUUCAGGAGUUCCUGCCAAGACUGGCUUUUGGAAGUUAUGCUUGCUUCACCAGUUGGGUUUAACAAGGACAUAAUCAAUUCUCUGUUGGUUAGUAGUACGGAAGUUCCUGUCAAGAAUGACUUUUGGAAGUUAUGCUAGCUUCAUCAGUUGGGCUUUCUGUACAAAACUAAGAUAACUUAUUUUGGUACUUGCGAUUAGUAUUACACAGAUGGGUGAUGCACACAUACUUCACCCGAUGUAUCUGUUCAUGUAUGUUGUUAUUAGCUAAUUAGACAAAAUUCCUCUGUUUGUAUGGUGUUUGUGAUGAUGCUAUCAAUUCACUAAACACUAAAAUACCGGGUUGUGCUUUCAAA